rnacentral:rRNA from 1 species
CGCAAGAUUAAAACUCAAAUGAAUUGACGGGGGCCCGCACAAGCGGUGGAGCAUGUGGUUUAAUUCGAUGCAACGCGAAGAACCUUACCUACUCUUGACAUCCAGAGAACUUUCCAGAGAUGGAUUGGUGCCUUCGGGAACUCUGAGACAGGUGCUGCAUGGCUGUCGUCAGCUCGUGUUGUGAAAUGUUGGGUUAAGUCCCGCAACGAGCGCAACCCUUAUCCUUGUUUGCCAGCACUUCGGGUGGGAACUCCAGGGAGACUGCCGGUGAUAAACCGGAGGAAGGUGGGGACGACGUCAAGUCAUCAUGGCCCUUACGAGUAGGGCUACACACGUGCUACAAUGGCGCAUACAGAGGGCGGCCAACUUGCGAGAGUGAGCGAAUCCCAAAAAGUGCGUCGUAGUCCGGAUCGGAGUCUGCAACUCGACUCCGUGAAGUCGGAAUCGCUAGUAAUCGUGGAUCAGAAUGCCACGGUGAAUACGUUCCCGGGCCUUGUACACACCGCCCGUCACACCAUGGGAGUGGGCUGCAAAAGAAGUGGGUAGUUUAACCUUCGGGGGGACGCUCAC